rnacentral:rRNA from 1 species
AUGUCCUCCUCAUCGCAAGUUUCCUCCCCUGGCCUCAACUACACAACUUCCGAGCCACUCAAUCGCAGCAACUACAUCCUCUGGAAAGCCCAAGCUCGUUCCCAGAUUAUGGGAACAGGGCUAUAUGGGUACAUCGAUCAAUCAACUCCUGAACCACCCAAAACCAUCGUGACCAAAAACUCUGAAGGGAAAGAUCAGAUCGUCCCCAACCCCGCCUACAACCCCUGGCUUGUCCAGGAUCAGCAGAUCGUGGCCUAUCUUUUGCGGAAUCUCUCCAAGGAAGUUCUCAUCCAAGUAGCAUCCUUAGAACAGUCUCAUGCCAUCUGGUCUGCCCUAGCAAAGAUGUUCGCCGCUCAAUCCCGUUCCCGUGAGAACAACUGUCGCAUAGCUCUCUCCAACGCACAGAAAGGCACCCAGAACGCCUCCACCUAUUUCGGCCACAUGAGAGCCCUCUCCGAUGAGUUAGCUGCCGCUGGAAAGCCCAUCACCGACCAAGAACUUCUCUCCUUCAUCAUUGGGGGGCUGGAUAUGGACUAUCAGCCUCUCAUAUCGGCGCUGGAUGUGCGCGUGGAACCCCUGUCCGUGGAUGAUCUCUUCGUCAUGGUCGCUAACUUUGACUAA